UGUGUCCCAGUGUUUCUUAGCAGCCGGCAUUGUUUACUUCUCUCCCACCUGUCAUUCUUUCUCCUUUAUCCCCACCUCACUUCUGCUCACCCAGAACUCGCCAUACACUCUUCUCCCAGCAGUUAUCUGGAUACCCUGACAGAGCUCCUGGGCAGCUUCCUUCUUGACUCUCAGAAUACCUCCUGGGAUAGGAUGACCUCCUCCCCUUCUGAGCAUGUGGCAUGUGACAGGCUCGUCAUAAAAUGCACUAAAUGAAUGGACAGAUGCCAUGUCUUUUAAAGAGACAAGAAAAAAAAAAGUGUUGUUCUCAGAGAACCACGCUGUUUAUCUUGUCUCCGGGGCAACGGAGACAAUACUCAUUCAGAGAGAAGGAGAGAAAUGGAGACAGUCAUACAGAAUGGCUCCUGAGUUCCGACUAAGUCACUUAACACAUAAAACAAAUUCGGUUUUCCUAAACAGAAGAGUAGCUACCAAAGCCAAAACCAAAGGGAAUUAAGUUGUUUAUCUGAUUGAAACUGAUCAUGUUGGAGGCUGAGAAGAUGGUGCAAUUGAGGAUUUCUGUGAGCGUUCAACCCUGUUGAUGCUUGCUGCAUGGAGACUUAUCCAGUAAGAAUUGUGUGCAAGAACCAUCUCCCAGCUGGGCAGUGGUGGUGCACACCUUUAAUCCUGCACUCGGGAG
rnacentral:lncRNA from 1 species